UAUAGCAGAACGCAUCGCCCUUCUUUUCUCUCUCCGUAAGUUUAAACAUUAAUUUUCUCUCGAUCGACCUCCACCAUCUUCUUCUUCUACAAUGGAUCCAGAUCCGGAAGGUAAAAUAGAGGUCAAUACCCUUAAACAAAUAAUCGAUUUCAAUGGUAGUCUGUGUGUUGUGAGAUCGUCUUCUAGUGUGCCCAGAAUUGCGUGCUGGCAAGUGAAAUUGUCCAUUAUCCAUUUAUUGUGUUCUUUGGAGUCUGGUGGUGCAUCUGAUUUUGGUUGUUGGAGGACGUAUGAGACUUCAAUGUCGGAGAGGAUGAAUUCGAUUUUGGUUUUCCAGAUUGGGAAUUUGUCUCCGGAGCUGUUGAGUUUUCGAGUUGUGGUUAAUUCUCUGUAAAAGAAUUCUGAAAUCAUGACUGAUUGAUUGAUCGGAUUGAGCUUGAGAUUGGGUUUUUAUGAAUUGGGAGAGUGUGAUUUUGAGAUCACUCUCUGUGUGGAUUAUAGAGAGACCUAAUUGAGAUUUGGGGAGUCAUAAAAUCCGUCUUACGAUUCAUUGGGAGUUGCUGUUUACUUCAACUGGUUCGUGUUGUCAUUCCUGAUAACGAUGGUGUGGUGGUAGCGAUGAAGUAAAAGAUGGCUCAGUUUGCUAAGAGAUUGUUGGUUACACUGCUUCUGUUCUGUGAGGAGCUGUUAACUCACUUGAUGUUUUCGUAUCUUGUGUGUACUACGAAAUUCUGAUGAUACAUGAAUUGGGUGUUUCUAUAUACUUAGUACUUUGUUGCACGCACUCAGGAAGAAAAAGCUUAUUGACUCUUGUUCCUUGAAUUGAAUAAAACAAUUAUCAAGAAUUCCUGGCUUUUAUGGAUUUGAAGAGAAAGGUAGACCAGCCUCUGGUCGGGAGGCAGCUGUUCCACCAAAUGCAACUCUUCUGAUUUAUUUAGAGUUUCUCUCCUGGAAGAUCGUGACAGAAGUAACUCCUGACAAGAAAGUCAUAAAGAAGAUUCUUAAAGAAGGAGAGGGAUAUGAGAAACCUAAUGAUGGAACUGUUGCCAAAGUGAAGUAACCGGGAAGCUUCAAGAUGGAACAAUAAUUUUGAGAACGACUCCAUUUGUUGGUGUUGGUAUUUUAGAGGCUCUUGUUGCCGCUUCUGGGAUGGCAGUUGCAGUGAGGAAGAUAAGAGAUAGUUUAUGGAAGCUAUGCAGCUCAGACGGUUGAUGUGGUCAAAAGGAUGAAAGAGAUUACUCUUGUUAAGAAGACUCCUGAGAAUAUAUUGGAAGAUCAAGAUGUUACUUCCGCAGAUAUCUAAGAUCUGUUGGACGAAUUGCAAGACCAUGUUGAAUCCAUUAACAUGGCAAACGAUUUGCGUACAAUUGGUAAUUGAGUGCACGCAUCCAAGAAAAGCAUGCCGAGGUUAUAACUACCAUAGUUCAAAGCAAUCAUAAAAUUCAGCAACUUGUAAUGGAAGAUCGAACCCCUUCUGGCUAAUCUCAUCUCAGAUCCAGAUGUUACUGCUCGAACCGCACUUGGUGUAAUAUCAUGCAAGUAAUAUAUGCCGUCUGUUCUGUAUGCAUGUCAUUGGUUUAGAUAUGCAGCUUUAUUAUCUAUACUGAGGCUGGUUGAUGUUCAAUGGCAUCACUUGAAAUACUUAUGACCUCUUAUGUAUUUUCUAUGGAUGUCUUUCAUCUUUGAUUCGAUACAACAAGCCCGGAGUUGCUGCGUUCAGUCUGGCAAAUGGUUAUGGAGCUUUGAGGGAUACACUGGAUUCAUACGCUGUUAGGUUUCAAAGGCCUAAUUAAGAAGGUGGUGACAGACUCGCAAGAUUUGGUGGUCCAAGAGGUGGAGCACCAGGAGAGUUUGAAGGAGUUAAGGUUGGUGCUCCAGUAGAGUAUCAGCCAUAACUUAAGGGUUCACAGAGACGAAGUCGGUUUCUGCCAAGAACUUGUUACAAGCUGCAGGGUUUUUGCUACUUUGGAUCCCAGGAACUCAUUGAUAAAAUGGACAUUUUAGGGAAUUCUACUAACCCAAGUGAAAGAAAGAACCUAUAAGGAUCCAGACUUGAAUAUGAAUCAUUGAUGUCAUGAAUCGAUCUAUUGCUCGAGGGCCGAAGAAACUUUUGUUCCUGCAUAGAUUUGUCACCGAGCUGGAUAUAGGUUGAACAUAUUGAACUUACCUUCAAGUUUCUUGUUAUGAACUCAGAAUUUCAUCCAUUUUUGUGUAAAUUUAAACCCAGUAGAUAAAGGAAUAAAUGUUGAAUUCUCAGAUUGAGUUUAUUUGGAGUUUCAUUUCAAUUUGAGUCUGGGUGUCAUUUGACUUUAAUUUAAAUUCCUUUUGAAUGAAUGAAUAUGGAAUUCUCGAGUUUGAGUUUA